GGAUAGCUUAAUGGGUAGAGCAUGAGACUCUCAGAGUCAUGGGUUCGAGCCCCAUGUUGGGCA
rnacentral:tRNA from 1 species